rnacentral:lncRNA from 1 species
ACAUAUCAUUCCCAAAGCCGGAUACUAUAAUCAAGUGACAACUAUGGAUGCAUUCAUAAUCUAUAAAACCGAGAUAGAUGAGCCAUUAAACCUUAACUAUAUCAUUCUUAAAGAAAUUUCCAACGUUAGAAAUCACCAUACUCGAGCUUUUCCCUAUGGUGCCCUUCUCACUAAAAUUUUCAAUCAAUUCGGGGUCAAUCUAAGGGUCAACAAAAUCAGGGACUAAGUAAAAGAUUUUAUUUGAAUACAAUUAAGAAGGGCAUAGAUUUUGAUUCAAGUGAGGGAGAAUGGGAUGUCAAAAUGGAUUAUGAGAAUAUGCAAGAUUUUGAUAGUGUUCGUGCCAUGGUUCCUUACACUAAAAACGAGGGAGUUCAAGUUGACCUAAAUGUUCAAGAACAUGAUGAGGGAGGGGUCUGGGAUGGACUGUGUUGAUAAAGACAUCCAUAAGUGUGUUAAUAUGGAAAGAGGUUAUCCUACGCAUGGAGAGAAUCCCACUCAAGAGGAAACGUCACAUCAAGAAGGAACUCCGACUUGGGCUGUUGAAUUGCAAGCUUCCUUGGAGGAAAUCAAGAAUCAACAAGUUGAAAUUAUUCAAAAUCAAAGGCGACAACAAGGAUACAUCGAUCGACUUGGAGAUGCCUUCUACGAACUACGGCAAGAGAUGGUGGAGCAAGGACAAUGCGUGGAUAGAAUUGGGAAUCUAUGUGAAAAUAUGCAUGAAGAAAAUAGGCAGCAUUUCUCCAACUUCCAUAUGGAUUUCGAAGGUUUAUGGAAUGUUCUCAGUCCACCUCCUCCACCUCUUCCACCAUUCGCACCGGGAGAUGCUCCGCCUUGUCCUCCCUAUCGCGGUCCGCCUUAUUGAUGAUGCCCCAAAGGGGGAGAAGAUUUAGUAAUUUGGAUUUAGUUCAGUUUAAGUCUUAGUGUGUUUGGAUUUAAUUCAAUUUAAAUCUUAGUGUUUAAAGUUUUUUUGGGGUGAUGUUUGGUUAGUUGUCAUUUUUGACUUUGAGUAUGAAUGCCAUGCUAAAUGUUUUAAACCUUAAGUAUGAAUGCCAUGCUACUUGUUAAUACCAUGCUAUUGAAUUUUCGUUUGAAGUACCAUGAGUUAGAUAAGUUCUCAUUGUAUAUCAUGAAUGCCAUAAUAUCAUGACCAACAUGUUUGGAAGCAUAAAGUAAGGGGGAGCCUUGAAUUAAGAGGGAGGUCUUAACCCCACCCCAGCCCCACUACACCCCAAAACAAAAACACCAGAUUUCAAAACACCAUAUUAUGUCAUCAUCAAAAAGGGGGAGAUUGAUGAAAUAAAGUUUGUAUUUUGAUGAUAACAAUUGGUUAAAACUAAUUCAAAGCCUAACUCUUAUUAAAAAGCAACCAUGUUUUUAAAAUAGUAUGGCACAUGAUAAAGAAGUUUUGAGAAGUUAUACAAAUCAUAAUUUAUGCUCUUAAGGUUAUAAAAAUAUUAGAAAUGUUAGUUUAACACUUAAACAAAAAUUGAUCAAAUAAACAGCUUAAAUAUGUCAACUGUGAAACUGGGCUUACUGUCAAAGUUUAAAAUAGAAUUCUUAGUCUCUGGAAUUUUAGUUAACAGCCGAUCGAAGUUAAAAUUAGCACGACUGAAAUUUUAACUUAGCACGAUCGAAGUUUGAACUCUGCUCAGCUGAAGUUCAGGAAGGCUCAACCAAAGCCAAAGCUAGAAUAGAGUAUCAAAAGAAGAGGACUUGAGCAGCCCACUAAAAAAUCAGAGGAAACAUGACCGAAAUGAAAGUUCAGUCGACCAAAGUUGUGGUGGCACAACCGAAUACAGAGAACAGAGCAGAAACAUGGCAAGUAUCUUAGUCUCCAUAAAUUCAAUGUUCAGAUGACCGAAGUUAAAGUUUGGUCAAGCGAAGUCCAGAUUAGGGAUGAUCGAACUUGAAAAAAAUCAAAACAGAGAAGUAAGCCAAGCCCUUGGAAUUUCAGUUCAAACUCGAAUGAAGUUGAAGUUCGGUCGAGCGAAAUUCACAACCGAAGUUUUGAAAUUCAAACGAGUGUGUCAACAUCACAGAUUCAAUAGUUGAGAUCAAAUCAGAAUGGCUCCUUCACUGCAUUUAAUGCUGCAACGUCUCUAUUUACUUUUGGGACUUUAAAAUCAACUAUUGGGACUAUUGUGAAAGUAUUGAAGUGAUCCAAACUAAUUGUCUUGCUAUCAUUCAAUACUUCAAUCAUUCUUGAAGCAUUCAUUGUGAGUUUUUGACCUUGAUCAAAAACAUCUUGUGAGUUGUAUCACUCUAGUAAAUGAGAGUUCAUUGCAUUAUCUUUUUUAAUCUAGAGUGAGUGAUUUAUUUAGACACUUCAUUUAUUGUAACCUAUGAAGAAAUCACCAUGUGUGACAGAGAGAGAGAUCUAAGAGUAGAAGACUCUUGAAGACUACAGGUGCUCUAGUGUGUAAAAAAUUUGGCAAGCACCCGUAAGCUUGUUGAAGAUGUUGAUAUCCCAAGGAGGCUUUAGAGAAGUGGACGUAGGCAC